GCAGUCGAGCGGAACGACGCAUAUCUGAACCUUCGGGGGACGAUAACGGCGUCGAGCGGCGGACGGGUGAGUAAUGCCUAGGAAAUUGCCCUGAUGUGGGGGAUAACCAUUGGAAACGAUGGCUAAUACCGCAUGAUGCCUACGGGCCAAAGAGGGGGACCUUCGGGCCUCUCGCGUCAGGAUAUGCCUAGGUGGGAUUAGCUAGUUGGUGAGGUAAGGGCUCACCAAGGCGACGAUCCCUAGCUGGUCUGAGAGGAUGAUCAGCCACACUGGAACUGAGACACGGUCCAGACUCCUACGGGAGGCAGCAGUGGGGAAUAUUGCACAAUGGGCGCAAGCCUGAUGCAGCCAUGCCGCGUGUGUGAAGAAGGCCUUCGGGUUGUAAAGCACUUUCAGUCGUGAGGAAGGUAGUGUAGUUAAUAGCUGCAUUAUUUGACGUUAGCGACAGAAGAAGCACCGGCUAACUCCGUGCCAGCAGCCGCGGUAAUACGGAGGGUGCGAGCGUUAAUCGGAAUUACUGGGCGUAAAGCGCAUGCAGGUGGUUUGUUAAGUCAGAUGUGAAAGCCCGGGGCUCAACCUCGGAAUUGCAUUUGAAACUGGCAGACUAGAGUACUGUAGAGGGGGGUAGAAUUUCAGGUGUAGCGGUGAAAUGCGUAGAGAUCUGAAGGAAUACCGGUGGCGAAGGCGGCCCCCUGGACAGAUACUGACACUCAGAUGCGAAAGCGUGGGGAGCAAACAGGAUUAGAUACCCUGGUAGUCCACGCCGUAAACGAUGUCUACUUGGAGGUUGUGGCCUUGAGCCGUGGCUUUCGGAGCUAACGCGUUAAGUAGACCGCCUGGGGAGUACGGUCGCAAGAUUAAAACUCAAAUGAAUUGACGGGGGCCCGCACAAGCGGUGGAGCAUGUGGUUUAAUUCGAUGCAACGCGAAGAACCUUACCUACUCUUGACAUCCAGAGAACUUUCCAGAGAUGGAUUGGUGCCUUCGGGAACUCUGAGACAGGUGCUGCAUGGCUGUCGUCAGCUCGUGUUGUGAAAUGUUGGGUUAAGUCCCGCAACGAGCGCAACCCUUAUCCUUGUUUGCCAGCGAGUAAUGUCGGGAACUCCAGGGAGACUGCCGGUGAUAAACCGGAGGAAGGUGGGGACGACGUCAAGUCAUCAUGGCCCUUACGAGUAGGGCUACACACGUGCUACAAUGGCGCAUACAGAGGGCAGCCAACUUGCGAAAGUGAGCGAAUCCCAAAAAGUGCGUCGUAGUCCGGAUUGGAGUCUGCAACUCGACUCCAUGAAGUCGGAAUCGCUAGUAAUCGUGGAUCAGAAUGCCACGGUGAAUACGUUCCCGGGCCUUGUACACACCGCCCGUCACACCAUUGGAUGUGGGCUGCAAAAGCAAGUAGG
rnacentral:rRNA from 1 species